rnacentral:rRNA from 1 species
UACGGAAGGCAGCAGUGGGGAAUAUUGCACAAUGGGCGCAAGCCUGAUGCAGCCAUGCCGCGUGUAUGAAGAAGGCCUUCGGGUUGUAAAGUACUUUCAGUCGUGAGGAAGGUGUUAAGGUUAAUAACCUUAGCAAUUGACGUUAGCGACAGAAGAAGCACCGGCUAACUCCGUGCCAGCAGCCGCGGUAAUACGGAGGGUGCGAGCGUUAAUCGGAAUUACUGGGCGUAAAGGGCACGCAGGCGGUUAAUUAAGUUGGAUGUGAAAUCCCCGGGCUUAACCUGGGAAUGGCAUUCAAGACUGGUUAGCUAGAGUCUUGUAGAGGGGGUAGAAUUCCAUGUGUAGCGGUGAAAUGCGUAGAGAUGUGGAGGAAUACCGGUGCGAAGGCGGCCCCUGGGACAAAGACUGACGCUCAUGUGCGAAAGCGUGGGGAGCGAAAC